rnacentral:rRNA from 1 species
GGCUCAGGAUGAACGCUAGCUACAGGCUUAACACAUGCAAGUCAGGGGAAACGGCAUCGAGUGCUUGCACUUGAUGGACGUCGACCGGCGCACGGGUGAGUAACGCGUAUCCAACCUGCCCAUCACUCGGGAAUAACCUCUCGAAAGAGAGCCUAAUGCCCGAUGCAUUCCAUAGAGGACAUCUGAAGUGGAAUAAAGAUUCAUCGGUGACGGAUGGGGAUGCGUCUGAUUAGCUUGUUGGCGGGGUAACGGCCCACCAAGGCGACGAUCAGUAGGGGUUCUGAGAGGAAGGUCCCCCACAUUGGAACUGAGACACGGUCCAGACUCCUACGGGAGGCAGCAGUGAGGAAUAUUGGUCAAUGGGCGCAGGCCUGAACCAGCCAAGUCGCGUGAGGGAGGACGGUCCUACGGAUUGUAAACCUCUUUUGUCGGGGAGUAACGUGCGGGACGCGUCCCGUAUUGAGAGUACCCGAAGAAAAAGCAUCGGCUAACUCCGUG